UAAACACAUAAUGGAAUCGGUGGUGGCGUCAAUCGUCAAUUCUCCGUCAUGCUGUCUGUCCGUCUGUGCAUCCGUAUGAGCUAUACUGCCUGACACUGUAGUGGUGUACCUAUAAGCACAUUAAUAUUAACAAACAAAAAAAAAAGAGAACAAUUCGCACUGGUAACGUUUUUUGAGACGCGACUGUGACAACUGUCUGCCUCCUAAUUAGCAACUCUGACUCAAAGCAACUCUGCGUAGUGACGCCCAUACAGUUGGUUCUGGCCAAUGCCUUUGUUUUCUGCAAUUGAUGGCGUGCGCAACAAUAUUCGUAUUGGAAAAGAACUUGGCUCGUUUUGUUGAUAUUAAUUGAAAGAAAUCAAUACAAAAAACGGUGAAAAGUGCGUUCCCACCAAUAUUGGAUAGAAAUUGACAACUUGGGUUCGGUAUGGAAAACUUAUGGACACAAAUUUCCAGUUGGCCCGAUUAAUGCAACUGACUUACUUCAUACUGUAGAAGUUAAAGCAGCAGUAUGUGAGCCUUUAGGGGAUAAAGGAGUCGACUGUGUAAAUGAUGAUAGUUGGCUUGCUGUAUCUCUUCUUUGUUGCUAUCGAGCAGCUGACAAAGACUCCAUGUCUAAUGCAUUUAAGAACAAUGCUCUCAAAGCGAUGCAUUCGGCAAUUGUCACUUCGGCUUUCCAUGAGGUGAAUGAUGAGAUAUCUCUUCGUGUAGUGGGAGAUAAGCUUAUUAGGGAUGAUGAAUUCACUAAAUUGGUUUGUGCCAUUGACAUGUUUCUAAAUAGGUUUCCUAACCACCCCUUAAAGAGUCUCCGAUUGGGGUCAAUAAUCACCCGAAACAAUGGAUUAACUGGUUGGUUGAACUUAGAUUAUCUUAGAGUUCGACUAGGAGUUGACACAAUACAUGAUGCCAUUCAUUGGAUAUUCGUUCCGGCCGCUUGGAAGGAGAUAGACCAGAUGCUUAGGGAUAGCGAAGAAAAAUCUGAUGUUUAUUCUUACUUUCCUUAUAUGAUGGGGUUGAAAUUAUUCAGAAAAAGCCCAUAUUCUGCAGAAUCCAAUCCUGUCACACAUAUGAUCAUUCAUUCAGUAGGCAGUCUGAUGGGAUAUGAUAGAUCAAUCAAUGCUAGGGUACCACGCAGAGAAUGUCCUCUAAUAACUGCAAUGAAUAUAGCCAUUAUAUUUUUACGAUUUUCGACCCAAGACCCAAGCUUCGAAACUCCGUCUGAUUGGGUCGUUUAUUUGAAAGAUCAUGGAAACCAAUUUAAUCAAAAACAUAGAGACUCAUUGGAGCUUGCAAUAAGGAUACCCGUACUAAUUCCGUAGGAAAAUGGGUAACUAACCAUCUAUUGCCUAACUUGAACUUUGAAUGAACCAACAUGAUACAACUGAUGGAAGAAAAAAAAAUUUAUUUAUGGCCUUUGUAGCAUAAGUUUAUUAUGGAAUAUCAUUAGAUCCAAAUUGAAGAAAAAGAAAUUGAAUGAAUUAUUAGUAAAUAAGUAACCCUGUCAAACAUGAAACUUGAAAACUAGUAAUUAAGUAAAACUCCUAAAAUUAAUGUUUAAAAUAUUGGAACUAAAACCAUCAUUAUGAAGUAUAUAAGGAAUUAAUUAUGGAUUAAAAUAGUUUAAUGAGCUCCUGAGAUAAA